GAUGAAGAACGCAGCGAAAUGCGAUAAGUAAUGCGAAUUGCAGAAUCCGUGAGUCAUCGAAUCUUUGAACGCACAUUGCGCCCUCUGGUAUUCCGGGGGGCAUGCCUGUCCGAGCGUCAUUUGCAACCCUCAAGCCCGGCUUGUGUGAUGGGUGCCGUCCCCUACGGGACGCGCCCCGAAGGCAAUGGCGGCGUCGCGGUUAUCCGAUCAGCCAAAGUGUAUGGGGCUUUGUCACUCACUUUACGGCCCGGACCGGCGCCAGUCCGAAUCAAUCUUUUUUCUAAAGUUGACCUCGGAUCAGGUAGGGAUACCCGCUGAACUUAAGCAUAUCAAUAAGCGGAGGA
rnacentral:misc_RNA from 1 species